UCCCAGACUCCUACGGGAGGCAGCAGUGGGGAAUAUUGCACAAUGGGCGAAAGCCUGAUGCAGCAACGCCGCGUGAAGGAAGAAGGGUUUCGGCUCGUAAACUUCUAUCAACAGGGACGAAAGAAAUGACGGUACCUGAAUAAGAAGCCCCGGCUAACUACGUGCCAGCAGCCGCGGUAAUACGUAGGGGGCAAGCGUUAUCCGGAUUUACUGGGUGUAAAGGGAGCGUAGACGGCGCUGCAAGUCCGGAGUGAAAGCCCAUGGCUUAACCAUGGUACUGCUCUGGAAACUGUGGAGCUUGAGUGCGGGAGGGGCAGGCGGAAUUCCUAGUGUAGCGGUGAAAUGCGUAGAUAUUAGGAGGAACACCGGCGGCGAAGGCGGCCUGCUGGACCGUAACUGACGUUGAGGCUCGAAAGCGUGGGGAGCAAACAGGAUUAGAUACCCGAGUAA
rnacentral:rRNA from 1 species